rnacentral:lncRNA from 1 species
ACGUAUCAUUUUCGUUCAUGACCAUAAAAUUGCUAAUUGAGCAUUGACAAUCCAGUAAGAUCAAGUACAUACUAUAUCUUCUCUCUUUAGAGAGUGACUAGUCUCGAGUUAUUAGUGUGAAAAACAACAACGCAUGUAUGUAGUUUCUCAAUAAAGAGUGAGUUCACUAAAUCGGACAAAACAGUUCCCAUACUCAUGCUAUAUGAGAACUCACUAGUUGGGAUAAAGCAAAGUAGUCAUUUGAUCUGAGAUGCUACAUUUGCCUUAUGGAUACAUCUUUGAUCAUAUCAUGCUUCAUAACCUAAGGUUCAUUCCGCACAUUGUUAGGAUCGCUGAUUUAUUCAUAGAGGCGUGUGAGUGUACAAUAAAAGAUCUCUUACCUUCAACUAUCGAUGAAGAAUACUCUAUGAUAUGUUUCAAGAGUCUAUAGUUAGAGUGCAUGAAUAUGAUUUAAGAAGUAUGUUCUAGAUCGCUUUCAUGGGAAUCACAUAGAUAGUAGAUAUGAAUAAACUAUCAACCAAACAAUGUGAUCAAGAGUAUUAAUUUGAAAAAUUACUGUAUUACAUUGUAAUUUCAAUUAAAUAGGUUAUCCACCUCUUCUGCUGAGCUUGGAUAGUCGUGACAUACUAUUAAGUGUCACUCAUGGCUUGUGGAAGCCCUAAGGAUUAGCACUCGCUAAUCUUCAUUAAAGGAAGAAUUAAAAAAUAGUUUCAGUUCAUAAUCAAUUAGUAAGAGCUCUAAUCACACAUUGCCUCAUUAUUAAGAACCUAAUGAAUUGUACUGAAAUAAAAGUUAAAUAAUUAAAUGAAAAGGUUCUUAUUGGCCCUUAAGUUAGUUUCGGGCUUCAUAGCCUAGUGGGCCCUUGAUCCAUCAAGCAUAACAAGUUAAAUGGUUUCACUUAAAACUACAAGCCCAAAAGUCCAACGAACACUAGUGUGAGACCGGCUCUAUAGUGAGAGAAUGCCACGCUUUGUAAUACCCUGUAUUUAACAAAAAAAUAUAAGUGUGUCUUUGUGUAUAUAUAUGUGGGUGAGCAAUUAUCUUAAUUCAAAUGUAAUGAUUUUCUUUGGGUUUCUGUAUGUUUAUACCAUAACUCGUAUUUUUUAUAUGUAAACUAGUCUCAGCGUAAAAUCCUUUUUGCUACAAAAUUAUUUCAAAACAAGUUAAUAUUAAUUUCACAUUCAUACUUAAUCAGAGAUGUUUUCAUUUGAAUUGAAGAACUAAGAUUAAAACGAGAUAAUAUGACAAUCAUGACUAGAGUUUGGCUUGAUUUUCUCACAAAGAUAAGAUGGCAUUUAGACAACCAUAGAGAAUAAAGAUAAGGGGUUAGUUACUACUCUAGAUAGGUUGAGGUGGGUUUAUUUAAUUUUUAGAGUAUGGAUGAGGCCUUUGGGUACCAAGAGGAUCCUCCAAUCACAUUCAUUCAUUCAUCGUAGAUCGUGCGGUCAUAAAUUAUUGUAAAUUUUUUUUUAUUUAAAAUUGAAUAUAAACAGUACCUGACAAAAACUAUCCGCACGAUGUACGAUGAAUGAAUGUGAUUAGAGGAUCCCCAGGAUCCUCUCUCCUUUUGGUAUUUGCCCACAUGCAUUGUAAUGAUUAUAAUCUUGUUCGGUUACCAUUACUUCCAAUGCUUGAUGUCCAAGUGUAGCAAAAGAUAUGAAAAGUGGCAUUGAAUGCUUAAUUGGAGAUUUCAUUUUUUUCUCCAAGUGAACCAUGGGACGAAUAGGAGACCAAGAAAACAACAGUAACACCACCCCAACAAAAAGAAGAAGAGCCAUUCUCCCACCAUAACUAUGGUAUAUGUUCACCAUACACCUAAUAAUUUGUCACCUUUUUUACCUAAUUCUAGUUAACUUUCACAUUAAAUGUUACUUUUUCAAUUUUGAAAAAAAAUUAACGAAGGUUAAGUCAAAGGACAUGUGACAUGACAAUGAUUAUACACCAUAAAUUAUGGUGAGCAUACACUAUAGAUUAUGAUGGUGAGCAAAAAUGCUUUCAUUUGUAAAUCCUCCAUACAUAGUGAAAUAGAAAGACAAACACCAUCUCAGUGGCUGUAAACACUACAAGAAAAUAUGGAUUAGGUGAUGAAAUUUUUUGUGGCGCGCAAAAAUUUAUCACAUUUGGGUAAAAUAAGUGACGCUUUUUUUAGAAACUGUCACAUAAUAAUUUUCACUGGACACUAAAAUACUUUGCGUCACAUAAACUUCUGAAUUUGCCACAAACUAUUGGGCAGAAAAUUUUACCGCCGAAUGAAAUGUUAAUAUGUGACCAAACUUUAAAAUUCAUUACAUAACAAAAAAGAAGGCCAGGUUUAUGCCAUUGGUCACAUAUAGUAUUAAAAUAAAAAAUAAAAAUAUACUGAAGAAAUUGUAUUAUUGAUAUAUAUAUAUACUAGAAAUUGAGCCCGCGCGAUGCCGCGGGUUUUAAAAUUAUGUUAAAUGUGUGAAAUAUAUUAAAACAUAUUCUCAACCAUAUCAAAAUUCAUAUACAUCCUAAUGUUCAACAAAGAACCAAAACAGUUUACAACAUGGUACUUGGCCCUCAAUAUGCAGAGAGCCCAUUCCCCAUCUUCAUUUUGCAAAAACAAUUCAUCAGUCAAUUUAUUCAUUUUUCUAUACCGAAAUUAAAGCUUUCUUAAAAAGCAUUAAUUUCAUGAAAAGCAUUCUUACCUGAUGAUUAUAGAGAUAUAUGCACAUCAUAACAGCAUUUAGACCUCCAGUAAUUGAAAGUGCAAUGAUCUAUUGCAAUUGGUAAGUAAUACUUAGUCACUCAACAAUUACGAAAUGGACCAAAUAAUAAAGAAAAAACCAAUCUUGGUUAAUUCAUUUAACUAAGAAGAAAGGCUGUGAAGUUCCGAAAUGAAUAUCCAGCCAUCUUUUGAAAUGUCAAAACUUACCUGGAAAUGCCGGAUUAGAUGGGUCUCAACCAAGUACGAAGCGAAUCCAAAAUGGGCACAAAUUUUCUGAAAUAAAAAACAAAAGCACAUGAGAUACUAAAAAAAGCCAUAAAAAAAAAAAGGGAAAUCAAAACCUUGUGUGGCAACAAACAUGCAGAACUUACCUUGAAAACCCAGAUCAAAGCAACCAAAAACCCAAAAAAAUUAUCGAAAUCAAACCAAAAAACCAGAUAAAUUAACAACCCUGACUACUAAUCGAAGAACAACAUAUGCGAGCCAUAAUCAACCAUUACACAUAUUUUGACAACAAUGUAGGAAAUCAGUGUAUCACAAAGUGAAAGCAAUCUCACAUUUGCCACACUUCUUAUUAGUAGAGCUAAACUACAAAAGCAGUCAACAAUUUAUGCCAUGAACAACUGAGGAUCAAAUACAUCUACUCUACAAUAUAAACAAAAAUUUGGAGGGACAGUUUGUAUGCUUUCCUAUUUCUCUCUGCGGUAAUUUUUCAUGUGUGGCUUUGUGCAUUCACACAUGCACAUUUGCCCACAUUUCUUUGCUGUUUUUUUUGUUACUAUUUGCCUUUCCUGAAUUUAUUAAGCAAAAUGUUAAAUUAUUCAUGUGUGAAUAGGUGGGUCUAGAGUCUGAAAUGGUGGGGGAAGCAUCUAGAUAAAACGUGGGGCUAAAACGGUGUGGGAACGAAGAGUGAGCCUGAUUCCAACAGAUACAAAGUAGUGGCAACAACCUCUAUUAAUAACCCCUAUUAAGUCAAUGAGUAGCCAACCUCUAUUUGUGCAGUUAUAUUUGGAACAUCCUAGUUUAUCUGAACCAAAUCCUUGAAAUGGGAACACAGUUGUUCAUAUGCAAGCAUGUCCGCUUAGCUGGUAUUGGCUUUACCUAAUUUACUUUUUAAGUCCAAUGUGAUAGAAAAUCCAUGUUUGUCUUGAUUUUACAUGAAAAAUACGAUGCAUGUCCCCUGAACAUACUGCUCAAGAAGCAAAUUUUGCUUGCUUGCAGCAUUUAGUAUAUAAACCACAAUAAGCAAUUUACUGAUCAUAAAAGAUAACUACGAAAUGAAAAAAUAUAAAAAUUUCAAUCUCAAAUUGUCUGCUGAUCUUAAAAACAAAAUCCAUGCAACUGAACCUAACUAAUACACAACUCGGCUGAGCCCAAGAUUUCAAUUUACUGGACAUAAAAGCAAAAGGUCACAUAAUUUUAUUAAGAUUUAUUUUCCUACGUUUUCUAGGCCCAUAUUACCAGUGAACGCCUAUUUUUCAACUAAAUAGGGAAUUUUCCCACGAAACUGAAAGCUAGGAACUUAGAACAAUGAAAUCAAACUUCAAUUAAACCAAUUUACAACCAGAUGAGAUGGAAAAUUAGCUAAUUAAUUAAUUAAUGAUUUAAUCAAGAACAAACCAAGAUAUCUACAACCCAAAUUAAACACAAAAUCAAGGUCCUUUCAGAAACAUAAGCUUAAGAAGACGAAAUCUGAAACCUUUCAAAAGCGCAGAAAUAGAGAGAAAAAUAUUGGGGGAAAAGUUGGGAAAUUUACCAAAGGGGUUUAGGUGGAGGCAUCUAGAGGAGACGAUCGGCAAGGCAGAUUGAAGCUCGAAAAGGCCGAGCUUGGACUCUGCGGCAGUGGCGAGAUCUAGGGUUUUUCCACAGAGAGAGGGAAACCUAGAUUGGGAAAAUAGGGAGAGAAAUAGACCUUGAUUCAAAGAAAAAUGGUGAAGCCCUAAAUCGAGCUGCUUGGUGCAGAGAAGAGUGAGGCGAGGAGGGAGACGGGGAGAGCAAGAGUCAAGCAGAGAAAAAGUGGGUCUACAGUCUGAAAUGGUGGGGAAGCAUCUAGAGAAGACGUGAUCUAAAACGGUGUGGGAACGAAAUGCGAACCUGAAAUAACAAAAAAGAAGCAGAGGUGAAAAUGGAAUGACACUGUCAAUGAAUAGUUUUUUUUUAUGUUGGGUUUUAGUAUAUGUAUAAUAUCUCUAUAUACUAAAACUUAGUAGGGAGGUACUGUGGAUGACCAGUGGGCGGACGAUUUUGCCCCUGGCUUUUUCAUCCGAUUGUUCUUCUCUUUGGUUUUUGGGGCAGCGAAAUGCCGCUUUUGCCCACUGCUUCCACGCGUCGGAUCCUCUAUUUGGAACCAGGAUCCUCUCCUGAGCAGUUUCCUAGGGAUCCUGCAAUCUUGUCCGUUCAUUUUAUAUCGUGCGGUCAGUUUUCGUUAGAUACUAUUCAUAUUUGAAUUUUAAAAUUUAAAUUUUAAAUAAUUUCUGACCGCACGAUA